rnacentral:lncRNA from 1 species
UUCUUUUAAAAUUUUAGUUUUUUACGCAGAAACUUGGCAAAAAUCUCAAGAAAAAUGAUGAGAAAGAAAGAGGAAAAUGGUUCUGAGCAAACCAAUAAAAAUUGCCCUAGAACCCUUCACCACUGAUGCUACAUAGCUCGANUACGUAUAGUACGUACUAUAGUACUACGUAUUAGUAUAUAUAUAUAUAUAUAUAUAUAUAUAUAUAUAUAUAUAUAGAUAUAGAUAUAUAGAUGCAAUGAUUGGUGAAAACAGCGAAAAAUUUCAAGUGGAGAACACUGAACGGCUGUCACAAAUUCUCAGAUGCUUUAUCGUCGUUAUUCCAAAAAUAACUACAAUUUCU